GAUGAACGCUGGCGGCGUGCUUAACACAUGCAAGUCGAACGGAAAGGCCCUGCUUUUGUGGGGUGCUCGAGUGGCGAACGGGUGAGUAACACGUGAGUAACCUGCCCUUGACUUUGGGAUAACUUCAGGAAACUGGGGCUAAUACCGGAUAGGAGCUCCUGCUGCAUGGUGGGGGUUGGAAAGUUUCGGCGGUUGGGGAUGGACUCGCGGCUUAUCAGCUUGUUGGUGGGGUAGUGGCUUACCAAGGCUUUGACGGGUAGCCGGCCUGAGAGGGUGACCGGCCACAUUGGGACUGAGAUACGGCCCAGACUCCUACGGGAGGCAGCAGUGGGGAAUAUUGCACAAUGGGCGGAAGCCUGAUGCAGCAACGCCGCGUGCGGGAUGACGGCCUUUGGGUUGUAAACCGCUUUCGCCUGUGACGAAGCGUGAGUGACGGUAAUGGGUAAAGAAGCGCCGGCUAACUACGUG
rnacentral:rRNA from 1 species